UACGUAGGGUGCAAGCGUUGUCCGGAAUUAUUGGGCGUAAAGAGCUCGUAGGCGGUGUGUCGCGUCGGCCGUGAAAACCUGCAGCUUAACCGUGGGCUUGCGGUCGAUACGGGCAUCACUGGAGUUCGGCAGGGGAGACUGGAAUUCCUGGUGUAGCGGUGAAAUGCGCAGAUAUCAGGAGGAACACCGGUGGCGAAGGCGGGUCUCUGGGCCGAUACUGACGCUGAGGAGCGAAAGCGUGGGGAGCGAACAGG
rnacentral:rRNA from 1 species